GAUGAACGCUGGCGGCGUGCCUAAUACAUGCAAGUCGAGCGAACAGACGAGGAGCUUGCUCCUCUGACGUUAGCGGCGGACGGGUGAGUAACACGUGGAUAACCUACCUAUAAGACUGGGAUAACUUCGGGAAACCGGAGCUAAUACCGGAUAAUAUAUUGAACCGCAUGGUUCAAUAGUGAAAGACGGUUUUGCUGUCACUUAUAGCUGGAUCCGCGCCGCAUUAGCUAGUUGUUAAGGUAACGGCUUAGCAAGGCAACGAUGCGUAGCCGACCUGAGAGGGGGGUAGGCGACAUUAGAGGUGAGACACGGACCAGACGACUAAGGGACGCACCAGUAGGGAAUCUGACGCAAUAGGGGGAAGCCUGACGGAGCAGGGGCGAGUGAGUGAUGAAGGUCUCCGGAUCGUAAAACUCUGUUAUUAGGGAAGAACAAAUGUGUACGUAGAUAUGGACGUCUUGACGGUACCUGAUCAGAAAGCAACGGCUAACUACGUG
rnacentral:rRNA from 1 species